rnacentral:snoRNA from 1 species
ACGACCUUACUUGAACAGGAUCUGUUCUAUAGGCUCGUACCACUGUAUCCUUGAGUUCUAAGGAGACAGAAGACCAAGCCUGGUUGACGAGGCAUGGCCAAUAGACCAGAGUGUGAUUAACAGCUCCCACAGCCCACGGGUUAUGGUGCCGUAGAUGAUCGUUCUUAGCCCAACCUCGGUGUGCUGAGAUUGUCUAAUGGCUGUUUGACAGACU